GUGGUUUGUUAAGUUGGUGGUUUAAUCUCUGGGCUCAACCCAGAGUCAGCCUCCAAAACUGGCGAACUUGAGUACGAUAGGGGAUAGCGGAAUUCUCGGUGUAGCGGUGGAAUGCGUAGAUAUCGAGAGGAACACCAAUGGCGAAGGCAGCUAUCUGGAUCGUAACUGACACUCAUGAGCGAAAGUGCGGGGAGCAAACAGGAUUAGAUACCCUGGUAGUCCGCACCGUAAACGUUGUAUACUAGUUGUUGGCGGUUUCAACGCCGUCAGUGACGACGCUAACGCAUUAAGUAUACCGCCUGGGGAGUAUGCUCGCAAGGGUGAAACUCAAAGAAAUUGACGGGGGCCCGCACAAGCGGUGGAGCAUGUGGUUUAAUUCGACGAUACGGCGAGAAACCUUACCUGGGUUUGACAUGGAUUUGACUGGGGUAGAGAUACCCCUUCCCGCAAGGGCAGAUUCACAGGUGUUGCAUGGUCGUCGUCAGCUCGUGUUGUGAGAUGUUGGGUUAAGUCCCGCAACGAGCGCAACCCCUAUCUUCUGUUACCAUCAUUAAGUUGGGGACUCUGAAGAAACCGCCGGUGACAAACCGGAGGAAGGUGGGGAUGACGUCAGAUCAGCAUGGCCCUUAUAUCCAGGGCUACACACGUGCUACAAUGGCCAGUACAGAGGGACGCAAAGCCGCGAGGUGGAGCAAAUCCCACAAAGCUGGUCUCAGUUCAGAUUGCAGUCUGCAACUCGACUGCAUGAAGUCGGAAUCGCUAGUA
rnacentral:rRNA from 1 species